rnacentral:rRNA from 1 species
ACGGAAGGCAGCAGUGGGGAAUAUUGGGCAAUGGGCGAAAGCCUGACCCAGCGACGCCGCGUGAAGGAAGAAGGUCUUCGGAUUGUAAACUUCAGUCAACAGGGAAGAAACAAAUGACGGUACCUGUGGAGGAAGCCACGGCUAACUACGUGCCAGCAGCCGCGGUAAUACGUAGGGAGCAAGCGUUAUCCGGAAUUACUGGGUGUAAAGGGAGUGUAGGCGGGACUGUAAGUCAGAUGUGAAAUAUGCCGGCUCAACUGGCAGACUGCAUUUGAAACUGCGGUUCUUGAGUGAAGUAGAGGUAAGCGGAAUUCCUAGUGUAGCGGUGAAAUGCGUAGAUAUUAGGAGGAACACCAGUGGCGAAGGCGGCUUACUGGACGAUAACUGACGUUGAGGCUCGAAAGCGUGGGGAGCAAACAGGAUUAGAUACCCUGGUA